AUUGAACGCUGGCGGCAGGCCUAACACAUGCAAGUCGAACGAGUGGCGGACGGGUGAGUAAUGUCUGGGAAACUGACUGAUGGAGGGGGAUAACUACUGGAAACGGUAGCUAAUACCGCAUACCAUCGGAUGUGCCCAGAGGGGAUUAGGUAGUAGGGGGGGUAAAGGCUCGCCUAGGCGACGAUCCCUAGCUGUUCUGAGAGGAUGACCAGCCACACUGUAACUGAGACACGGUCCAGACUCCUACGGGAGGCAGCAUUGGGGAAUAUUGCACAAUGGGCGCAAUCCUGAGGCAGCCAUGCCGCGUGUAUGAAGAAGGCCUUCGGGUUGUAAAGUACUUUCAGCGGGGAGGCGUUACCCGCAGAAGAAGCACCGGCUAACUCCGUGCCAGCAGCCGCGGUAAUUC
rnacentral:rRNA from 1 species